AUUGAACGCUGGCGGCACGCUUAACACAUGCAAGUCGAACGGCAGCGGGGGGAGCUUGCUCCCUGCCGGCGAGUGGCGAACGGGUGAGUAACGCGUAGGGAUCUGCCUGUUAGAGGGGGAUAAGCCGUGGAAACGCGGUCUAAUACCGCCUACUCGCUAAGGAGGAAAGUAUGGUACCGAAAUGCCACACGCUAACAGAUUAUCCCGCGUUAGAUUAGCUAGUGGGUAGGGUAAAGGCCUACCAAGGCGACGAUCUAUAGCUGGUCUGAGAGGAUGACCAGCCACACUGGAACUGAGAUACGGACCAGACUCCUACGGGAGGCAGCAGGGGGGAAUAUUGGAGAAUGGGGGCAACCCUGAUCCAGCGAUGCCGCGUGUGUGAAGAAGGCCUGAGGGUUGUAAAGCACUUUAGUUGGGGAGGAAAGCCUGAGGAUGAAUAAGCCUUAGGGGAGACGUUACCCAAAGAAUAAGCACAGGCUAACUCUGUGCCAGCCGCCGCCGUAA
rnacentral:rRNA from 1 species